ACGGGUGCGUAACGCGUGGGAAUCUGCCCUUGGGUUCGGAAUAACAGUUAGAAAUGACUGCUAAUACCGGAUGAUGUCCUCGGACCAAAGAUUUAUCGCCCAAGGAUGAGCCCGCGUAAGAUUAGCUAGUUGGUGGGGUAAUGGCCCACCAAGGCGACGAUCUUUAGCUGGUCUGAGAGGAUGAUCAGCCACACUGGGACUGAGACACGGCCCAGACUCCUACGGGAGGCAGCAGUGGGGAAUAUUGGACAAUGGGCGCAAGCCUGAUCCAGCAAUGCCGCGUGAGUGAUGAAGGCCUUAGGGUUGUAAAGCUCUUUUACCAGGGAUGAUAAUGACAGUACCUGGAGAAUAAGCUCCGGCUAACUCCGUGCCAGCAGCCGCGGUAAUACGGAGGGAGCUAGCGUUGUUCGGAAUUACUGGGCGUAAAGCGUACGUAGGCGGUUAUUCAAGUCAGAGGUGAAAGCCCGGGGCUCAACCCCGGAACGGCCUUUGAAACUAGGUAGCUAGAGUCUUGGAGAGGUUAGUGGAAUCCCGAGUGUAGAGGUGAAAUUCGUAGA
rnacentral:rRNA from 1 species